ACGCUCGACACCUACGGGAGGCAGCAGUUGGGAAUAUUGGACAAUGGAGGAAACUCUGAUCCAGUGACGCCGCGUGAAGGAAGAAGGUCUUCGGAUUGUAAACUUAUUUUGUCAGGGAAGAAAAAUGACUGUACCUGAAGAAAAAGCACCGGCUAACUACGUGCCACACGCCGCGGUAAUCUGAGGCGGGCUGGCGAAGGC
rnacentral:rRNA from 1 species